GCCGAAGUGGCGGAAUGGCAAACGCGGCGGAUUCAAAAUCCGCUAUCCGAAAGGGUUUGUGGGUUCGAGUCCCACCUUCGGUACCA
rnacentral:tRNA from 1 species